GUCCCUGUAGAGCAAUGGAUAGCACGUUACCCGUUGGACUUCUAAUCCAAAGGUCAUGGGUUCAAAUCCCUCCUGGGAUG
rnacentral:tRNA from 1 species